CCAGUGUGUUUCGACACACUAUCAUUAACUGAAUCCAUAGGUUAAUGAGGCGAACCGGGGGAACUGAAACAUCUAAGUACCCCGAGGAAAAGAAAUCAACCGAGAUUCCCCCAGUAGCGGCGAGCGAACGGGGAGCAGCCCAGAGCCUGAAUCAGUAUGUGUGUUAGUGGAAGCGUCUGGAAAGGCGCGCGAUACAGGGUGACAGCCCCGUACACAAAAAUGCACAUGCUGUGAGCUCGAUGAGUAGGGCGGGACACGUGGUAUCCUGUCUGAAUAUGGGGGGACCAUCCUCCAAGGCUAAAUACUCCUGACUGACCGAUAGUGAACCAGUACCGUGAGGGAAAGGCGAAAAGAACCCCGGCGAGGGGAGUGAAAAAGAACCUGAAACCGUGUACGUACAAGCAGUGGGAGCACGCUUAGGCGUGUGACUGCGUACCUUUUGUAUAAUGGGUCAGCGACUUAUAUUCUGUAGCAAGGUUAACCGAAUAGGGGAGCCGAAGGGAAACCGAGUCUUAACUGGGCGUUAAGUUGCAGGGUAUAGACCCGAAACCCGGUGAUCUAGCCAUGGGCAGGUUGAAGGUUGGGUAACACUAACUGGAGGACCGAACCGACUAAUGUUGAAAAAUUAGCGGAUGACUUGUGGCUGGGGGUGAAAGGCCAAUCAAACCGGGAGAUAGCUGGUUCUCCCCGAAAGCUAUUUAGGUAGCGCCUCGUGAAUUCAUCUCCGGGGGUAGAGCACUGUUUCGGCAAGGGGGUCAUCCCGACUUACCAACCCGAUGCAAACUGCGAAUACCGGAGAAUGUUAUCACGGGAGACACACGGCGGGUGCUAACGUCCGUCGUGAAGAGGGAAACAACCCAGACCGCCAGCUAAGGUCCCAAAGUCAUGGUUAAGUGGGAAACGAUGUGGGAAGGCCCAGACAGCCAGGAUGUUGGCUUAGAAGCAGCCAUCAUUUAAAGAAAGCGUAAUAGCUCACUGGUCGAGUCGGCCUGCGCGGAAGAUGUAACGGGGCUAAACCAUGCACCGAAGCUGCGGCAGCGACGCUGAUGCGUUGUUGGGUAGGGGAGCGUUCUGUAAGCCUGCGAAGGUGUGCUGUGAGGCAUGCUGGAGGUAUCAGAAGUGCGAAUGCUGACAUAAGUAACGAUAAAGCGGGUGAAAAGCCCGCUCGCCGGAAGACCAAGGGUUCCUGUCCAACGUUAAUCGGGGCAGGGUGAGUCGACCCCUAAGGCGAGGCCGAAAGGCGUAGUCGAUGGGAAACAGGUUAAUAUUCCUGUACUUGGUGUUACUGCGAAGGGGGGACGGAGAAGGCUAUGUUGGCCGGGCGACGGUUGUCCCGGUUUAAGCGUGUAGGCUGGUUUUCCAGGCAAAUCCGG
rnacentral:rRNA from 1 species